GUCCAUAAAAUAUGCUUUAAGGAGGGGGCAGCUCAACUCACCCCUCACUCACCCCCAAAGCAUGCAAAGGGAAGAGUGCUGUGGGCUGGGGAAUCUUCCAUCCUGCUACUACUGCUAGCUUUAGAGGAAGUGGGCAGGAAGGUAAGUAGAUUCCUGUAUGCAUUGAGGGAGGGGGGAGAAGGAGAAGAGCUGCAUCGAAUUCGCUGUGCAAUUAUGAGGGUUGGUCGCUUUCUGCAUCAGUCUUCAGCUGGAAUCAAGUUCUCCAAUGUAGUUUCGGCUGCCUUUUUCACAUGGGUCAUGAAACUAGAACCUGCACAAAUGCUGCAAAGAGCCGAUCCAUAACGUGCCAUGAAAAGAACAAAGCAGAUCGGAUAGAAUUUUGGGAUUUUUCAGGGACAAAACCUUGGUCAAAUAUGACUUCUCCAACUUGCUGCCAGGACAUCAAAACAUCAGUCCAAAUGACAUCAUUUUGGUUGGAAGAGGAGAAUCCUGCAUCCUAUGUGAGUCAUGUGGCACAAGUUUUGAGAUCACAUCUGAAAUAUAAAUUUCUGCCAGCUGAUAGUGAG